UACAGAGGGUGCAAGCGUUGUUCGGAAUUAUUGGGCGUAAAGGGCGCGUAGGCGGUGCCACAAGUCACCUGUGAAAUCUCCGGGCUUAACUCGGAGCCUGCAGGCGAAACUGUGGUGCUGGAGUGUGGGAGAGGUGCGUGGAAUUCCCGGUGUGGCGGUGAAAUGCGUAGAUAUCGGGAGGAACACCUGUGGCGAAAGCGGCGCACUGGACCAUAACUGACGCUGAUGCGCGAAAGCUAGGGGAGCAAACAGG
rnacentral:rRNA from 1 species